rnacentral:tRNA from 1 species
GUUUAAGCAGUUUUAAACUUAAAAAACAUGGCAGAGGGAAACUCCUAAGGCUCUUGAAUU